UUUAGUUUUACUUCUGUGUAUAUUUGUGUGCCUAUGUAUGUGUUUGUGCAGAUCAGUGCAGUGACCACAGAGGCCAGAAGAGACUGUCAGAGCUUCAGUUGCAAGUUGAUGGGAGCCUCCUGACAUGGUGCUGAGAAACAAAUGUGGGUUUGCAACUACUCAUCAACCUCUCAGGCCCAAGAAUCAGGAUCUACUCUCUGUGGCCUCUUUGUGGAAAGCUUCCUCUUCGGAGGGGCAUGAAUGAGAGAGGAGACCGGGGCCCUCAACUCCCACAGACAGAACAUUACUGGAAUUUUAUUCUAGGAGGAGCAAUUUCGCUAUUGGAGUCAAUUAACCCAAUGAAGCUAUUACACCAAAGAAUCUGUGAUGUUAUUCAGACUUCC
rnacentral:lncRNA from 1 species